rnacentral:sRNA from 2 species
GCCCCCGUCAUCUGGGGAGUAGCCACCGGCGCAUAGCGCCGUGCGCCCGCGUCAACAUACUUGGUCGAGAGGCCAUGGCGCAGGCGGAGCCGAUCGCGGCUCAGGCGAGACCAAUGGCGUCGUAUCUCCGCUCAUGCCGGGCGGGGAGAUUCGAUGUCGUUGGAUUCGCGUUCCGCCCGGCCCU